GCAACACAAUGACUUUAAUCACCAUCUUCAUCUGGAUCCUCACCCUCUGCAUCCAAGAAUCCAGAGGCCAGAUUACUGUGACUCAGACACCUGCAGUAAAAGCUGUUAUUGUAGGAGAAACCGUGACCAUUAGCUGUAAAACCAGCAGCCCUAUAGAUUAUGAUGACGUUUCAUGGUACCAACAGCAGACUGGAGAGCCGCCAAAACUCCUCAUAUAUGAAAUAAGCAGCCGUCAGUCUGGGACUCCAGAACGAUUCACUGGCAGUGGAUCCAACUAUGGGUCUGACUUCACUCUGACCAUCAGUGGAGUCCAGGCUGAAGAUGCAGGAGAUUAUUACUGUCAGAGUUUCCACUACCCCAAUAGUCAACACGUGUUCACACAGUGAUACAGAACCAUACAAAAACCUCCCUCAGUCAGACUGCACAGUGACUGCACUGCUGCAGCUGGGACUCACU